GAUGAACGCUGGCGGCGUGCUUAACACAUGCAAGUCGAGCGAAGCGAUUUUAAGGAAGCUUUCGGGUGGAAUUAAAAUUGACUGAGCGGCGGACGGGUGAGUAACGCGUGGGUAACAUGCCUCAUACAGGGGGAUAACAGUUAGAAAUGACUGCUAAUACCGCAUAAGCGCACAGUGCUGCAUAGCACAGUGUGAAAAACUCCGGUGGUAUGAGAUGGACCCGCGUCUGAUUAGGUAGUUGGUAGGGUAACGGCCUACCAAGCCGACGAUCAGUAGCCGACCUGAGAGGGUGACCGGCCACAUUGGGACUGAGACACGGCCCAAACUCCUACGGGAGGCAGCAGUGGGGAAUAUUGGACAAUGGGGGAAACCCUGAUCCAGCGACGCCGCGUGAGUGAAGAAGUAUUUCGGUAUGUAAAGCUCUAUCAGCAGGGAAGAAAAUGACGGUACCUGACUAAGAAGCCCCGGCUAACUACGUGCCAGCCGCCGCAGUAA
rnacentral:rRNA from 1 species